rnacentral:rRNA from 1 species
CCUACGGGAGGCAGCAGUGAGGAAUAUUGGUCAAUGGGCGCGAGCCUGAACCAGCCAAGUCGCGUGAAGGAUGACUGCCCUACGGGUUGUAAACUUCUUUUAUCAGGGAAUAAAGUGAGACACGUGUUCCUUUUUGUAUGUACUUUAUGAAUAAAGAUCGGCUAACUCCGUGCCAGCAGCCGCGGUACUACUGAGGAUCCGAGCGUUAUCCGGAUUUCUUGGGUUUAACGGGAGCGUAGAUGGGUUGUUAAGUAAGAUGGGAAAGUUUGGGGCUUAACCGGAAAAUUGCAUUUGAUACUGGCAGGCUUGAGUACAGGUGAGGUAGGCGGAAUUCGUUGUGUAGCGGUGAAAUGCUGAGAUAUCACGAAGAACCCCGAUGGCGAAGGCAGCGUACUAGACUGAGACUGACAUUGAGGCGCGAAAGUGUGGGUAUCAAACAGGAUUAGAUACCCCAGUAGUC